GCAGAUUAAACGCAACGCUAAAAGCCAGAACACCACGGGAAGGUGCGCUCCUUUGGGUAAGGCUUCAGCACGUGUUGAGCUAUUGUGGCUGGGUUGCUCACGCAGAUGAGACUUUAGGGGCAAUUAAGAGAUUCUCAUCAGCGUCACACAAACGAUCACACUGACUGUAGCGACUUAGAUCCAGAUUUUGAGUUCAGGUUUGAGUCUUACCGAAAUGGCAAGAGGAACGCUGGGUCGAGGAGGAGGAGGAGUGUGUGGCAGACCUGGAUUGAGCAGUGAAUAUCUCCAACUGAUCCUGCUCAGCAAGUACCCCAAUAUUCACAGAAGCAAACUCAAACAAGAGAUCGCUUGACUGCUCAUGGGUGAAGUGCUAGAAAGGAGAAAAGGGCUUAUACCCUCAUUAACUGCACACAGGGGAGCCUGUGACUCGGGUUUCUCAGCUCACAGAAAAAGAUGUUGAACUGUGUACGCUAAGACUGAUGGUAAAGUUGCCUUUAGCAAAUAUAAUCACUCUGGGGUGGAGUGAGGACUCAACAAGACGAAGGUCAAAGCAUCUGCACACUCAGUCCAAGGGCUGGAUCCAGCAAACACUGAGGUGGAUGGGAAUAAUCUAAAUGCCACCAGCACUGGAUCCAGAAGCAGAGUGCCUGGGAAAUUAAUCUCUUGCCUACUUUACUGUAACACCGUGCAGCAGAAACACACCCUUUGUGCUAUACACGACAGCACGGCAGUGCUUGUUAGACCGAAGAGGGGAAGGAUGUUAACCCUGGUAAGGGGGGAGUAUUUAUUUAGACACCCCAGGAAUCAGCAAAUUGUAUCCAUGUUCUACUUAGGAAAUUAAUGGCUAGGGGUUUCUAAUGGCUAGAAGUUUACGAGGGUAAACUUCAGAGGCUUCUGUUCACAAUUAAAAAAAAAAGUAGUUUUCUACGUUGCACAGUGUUGUACACCCCUGAGGAAGAGGGAGCACAAUGUGGUAACGCUGUAUCCUCCUCAGGGCUAUUGCCUGGCAGCAGCCCUGGCUGUGUCCGCCUCACUGCGUACCCUUUUCUCGCCGGGGGAGGGGACAGGGGUGUGUUUUGGGGCUCAAAAUUCCACAGGUGGGCAAGGCCUGAAGUUUCCAGAUGGAAACUAAAUGGACACCUGCACUGCCCUGCUCCAGCUUACACCAUCAAAGGCCAGUUACCUGCAGGGAACCUCUCGUCACAGAGUAGCUGAAAAAUAAAGUGUGUUUUCCUUUUCCAAGGAAUCCUCAGGAAAGGGGGAGUGCAACAGUCCUGUCCAUCUACAUCGUUUUGCAUCCAGGUAUCUCCCACAUCCCCUCUUUGGUCUAAGACUAAGACAUAUGCGGGCAUCACAAUCUCCAAGUUAAACACGUUUGUUUGCCCCCCAAAAUAAGAGUGAUUUUGUGGAAAAGGUGGAAUGCACCAGCAAAAAGUAAAUGAAGGAGAUAGAUACAGUUCAUUUUUGAGAAGGCCUUGCCCCCUUAAACAAAAUAUUACAAUUAGUUAAUACAAAUCACCAGCUAUUACACUGAUUAAUACUAUUUAAAUAGCAAGUAAGUAGCACACACUAGUUAACCAUUAUCAUUAGUUAAGACUAAUGGCUACACUCUAAGUUAUUGAUAUUCAAAUAAUGUAUAUUAUAAUUAGUUAUUUAUACCACUCAGAUAUAGCAUUGCAAUUGUCCAGGUAAUCACCAGCCAUGAUUACAAUAAAAUAUUUAUUAGCACAGGUUUUUAUAAAUAGUUACCAAUAUCCAGACGACCAUCCUCAUGUUUUACAACUGGCCAGCUAUACACCACUCGGGACACAGCAUCACAACUGGUCCAGCUCAUUACAAUACUUAUUGAUAUUUAAUAACUUUCAACGUGCAUUGUAAUUAGCUAUUUAUACCAACUGCAAAACAUAAUUGGUAAGGACUACUUACCAUACAUCAUGAUGAUACUCAGUUAUUAAUGCUAUUUAAAGAAUUAUUAUAGUGCAGUAUUACAUUUAGUUAUUAAUACCAAUCACCAUACGUUUUGGUCUAAUGCCUUUUUACUGUACCCUGCCGGAAUUUUUAAUAGUAAAGGCCAUUAAUGUGGUGUUAUACGUGGUCAAGACUCAUUGCCAUAUAUCAUAAAUUAGUAUUAAUAACGAAUUAAUUUGAAUAUAUUAUUAUACUUGGUGAUUUUUAAGCACCAUAUUAUAAUCAGUUAUUCUACUAGAGCACUGUUACAAUUUGCUAGUUACUAUUAUUGCUGGGCUGUGUGUGUGGAAUUGGAGACAAAAUGCACUUGACCAAAUUAUACUGAAGGGCUGACCCAACUUUUUUGCUACAUUUCACUUUUUAAAAUUGUUAUUCCUAUUUUGCCCCACCCUGCUCCGCAAUAAAACUAUUUUCUUAGUGGUAUCAGCCACUUCUGACCUAACGAGCUUACAUUUGCCUCCUAUGCAUAGUUUCCAAGGAAGUCAAAUAGGACUAUGCAAAGUUUAUAGUGUUUGUCUGGUAAGGAGCUAAUUAAAAUAUAAAUCAACUUUAUAUAGCCACAUCAACAUUAUAUAGCCAUAAGCCAUUUUAAUAUCCAGAGGCACAGUGCGGCUGCCUUGAGAGGGAAAACUGGAAUCAGAUCAUUUCACUCCUGAAACGCUAUCAAUAAUAAACUGCUGA